rnacentral:rRNA from 1 species
UACGUAGGGUGCAAGCGUUGUUCGGAAUCAUUGGGCGUAAAGAGCGUGUAGGCGGUUUACCAAGUCGAUUGUGAAAGCCCUCGGCUCAACCGGGGAAGUGCAGUUGAAACUGGUAGGCUAGAGAACGGUAGAGGAAGGUGGAAUUGACGGUGUAGCGGUGAAAUGCUUAGAUAUCGUCAAGAACACCGAUAGUGAAGACAGCUUACUAGGCUUAGAUUGACGCUGAGGCACGAAAGUGUGGGGAUCAAACAGG